UACGAAGGGUGCAAGCGUUAUCCGGAUUCACUGGGUUUAAAGGGUGCGUAGGCGGACAGGUAAGUCAGUGGUGAAAUCUCUGGGCUUAACUCAGAAACUGCCGUUGAUACUAUUUGUCUUGAAUAUCAUGGAGGUAAGCGGAAUAUGUCAUGUAGCGGUGAAAUGCUUAGAUAUGACAUAGAACACCGAUAGCGAAGGCAGCUUACUACAUGGAGAUUGACGCUGAGGCACGAAAGCGUGGGGAGCAAACAGG
rnacentral:rRNA from 1 species